UGCCAGCCGCCGCGGUAACACCAGAGCCGCAAGUGGGGACCGCUCUUAUUGGGCCUAAAGCGUUCGUAGCCGGUCGAGUACAUCCUCUGUGAAAUCGUUGCGCUUAACGCAACGGCGUGCAGGGGAGACGGCUCGACUUGGGACCGGGAGGCGUAUGAGGUAUUCUAGGGGUAGCGGUAAAAUGCGAUCAUCCCUAGAGGACCACCUGUGGCGAAGGCGUCAUACGAGAACGGAUCCGACGGUGAGGGACGAAAGCUAGGGGAGCAAACCGGAUUAGAUA
rnacentral:rRNA from 1 species